rnacentral:piRNA from 1 species
UGGGAAGACCCAUAGAGAUGCAAAAGAGUG